GCCUCCUUAGCUCAGUGGCUAGAGCACUGGUCUUGUAAACCAGGGGUCGUGAGUUCAAUCCUCACAGGAGGCU
rnacentral:tRNA from 1 species